CACGUGGGCAAUCUGCCCUGCACUCUGGGACAAGCCCUGGAAACGGGGUCUAAUACCGGAUAUGACCGUCUGCCGCAUGGUGGAUGGUGUAAAGCUCCGGCGGUGCAGGAUGAGCCCGCGGCCUAUCAGCUUGUUGGUGAGGUAGUGGCUCACCAAGGCGACGACGGGUAGCCGGCCUGAGAGGGCGACCGGCCACACUGGGACUGAGACACGGCCCAGACUCCUACGGGAGGCAGCAGUGGGGAAUAUUGCACAAUGGGCGAAAGCCUGAUGCAGCGACGCCGCGUGAGGGAUGACGGCCUUCGGGUUGUAAACCUCUUUCAGCAGGGAAGAAGCGAAAGUGACGGUACCUGCAGAAGAAGCGCCGGCUAACUACGUGCCAGCAGCCGCGGUAAUACGUAGGGCGCAAGCGUUGUCCGGAAUUAUUGGGCGUAAAGAGCUCGUAGGCGGCUUGUCACGUCGGUUGUGAAAGCCCGGGGCUUAACCCCGGGUCUGCAGUCGAUACGGGCAGGCUAGAGUUCGGUAGGGGAGAUCGGAAUUCCUGGUGUAGCGGUGAAAUGCGCAGAUAUCAGGAGGAACACCGGUGGCGAAGGCGGAUCUCUGGGCCGAUACUGACGCUGAGGAGCGAAAGCGUGGGGAGCGAACAGG
rnacentral:rRNA from 1 species